rnacentral:sRNA from 1 species
AUUACAAUAAAGCGAUUUUGUUAAAAGAAAUCCAAAGAUUAAAAAAGAAAGGUUCCUUCACCAGUAAAAUGAUAGGUACUAUAUUUCGAAUACAAGUGUAAUUGUUCAUUGCCUGCUUCAGAGGCCUGGGAGCUCUGUCUAGCUUGUCACGCUGUCUGCGCUUCAUUCAUUCUUGCUGCUUGGCGUCGGAAGAACUCAGUAAAUGGGGUAGUACCUAGUUAAGUGUUCCUGAACCCAGGGCCAGGUGUUUCCUCAGCUAGAAAAGUCUUGCGAAGAACCAGUCCUCCUCUUUUCUCUGACCAGGUAUAUAUCCUGCAGGAUUAGAGAUAAGACAUCCCCUCUGUGUGCAGAUACUGCUUUGAGAGAAGCUGGCCUGGACAUUUUCAAGAGAAUGCUAUGUCACACCACUGGUGAACUCUGCCAAGUGUACAUGAUGUAAAGGAAGAGUGAAAGUGAGCAGAAAGCUUAUGUGAAGUGCGUGAAGCAGUGAGGCGGGUUCUGUCUCACCCCACACAGGGUUACGGCUUCAUCUUGAACACUGCAGUCAUGCCUGGGGACAUAUCUCAGUGAUAAAGGGUUUGUCUGGCCCUAGGUGCUAUCCCCAGGACUUGGGGAGGUAGGGAGCGAUACUCUUGCCUACUGUAAGAACCAUGAAGAUGCUUCUGUUGACAUCAUUUUCUUGGUAACCUGAAAGAACGUUAAAAAAAAAAAAAAAAA